rnacentral:rRNA from 1 species
UACGUAGGGUGCGAGCGUUGUCCGGAAUUAUUGGGCGUAAAGCGCUUGUAGGCGGUUUGUCGCGUCUGCCGUGAAAGCCCAGGGCUUAACCCUGGGACUGCGGUGGGUACGGGCAGACUAGAGUGUGGUAGGGGAGACUGGAAUUCCUGGUGUAGCGGUGAAAUGCGCAGAUAUCAGGAGGAACACCGAUGGCGAAGGCAGGUCUCUGGGCCACUACUGACGCUGAGAAGCGAAAGCAUGGGGAGCAAACAGG